GCCUGUGAGCUAGUAUAGGAAAGCCGACCUGCUGAAGUGUUUGGAGGGAACCCCAGGAAACAACCAACCGUUCGUCCAGGAGCUCACCUGCUUCUGAUAUUUUCAUGGCUGGCGGAGCGAAGAGAGCAAGGAAAAUUGCUGGAUGAACCUGGCCGUCAUUCCGGCUUAGUUGGGGAUGGAGCCGAAUGGAAUCUGAGCGGCCCAAACUUCGAAGCAGACCCGGGAGAAAAAGAGGCGGAGAUGGAGGCAGAUCUCAUUGGAAUGAUGCUACUUGGUUCAGCUGGUUUUGAUCCUCGCAUAGCACCACUGGCCAUUGAGAAGCUAGGAGAUAGUAAUAGAGGAUUCCUCUGUACUCAUCCUUCGAAUAAGAAAAGAUCACAGCUUUUAUCCGAAACUGAGAUCAUGGAGUUGGCUCUGAAGUUAUAUAGAGAAGUUAAUCCCCAUCAAAACACUGAACGUUCCCUCCAGGUUAAGUUUUGAAAUUCUUGUGCUGGAUACUCAGGCUCUAGAGCUUGACACAA